rnacentral:rRNA from 1 species
CCUACGGGAGGCAGCAGUGAGGAAUAUUGGUCAAUGGGAGAGAUCCUGAACCAGCCAAGCCGCGUGAGGGAAGACGGCCCUAUGGGUUGUAAACCUCUUUUGUCGGAGAACAAAACCCGGGACGUGUCCCGGACUGCGUGUAUCCGAAGAAAAAGCAUCGGCUAAAUCCGUGCCAGCAGCCGCGGUAAUACGGAGGAUGCGAGCGUUAUCCGGAUUUAUUGGGUUUAAAGGGUGUGUAGGCGGUCCGUUAAGUCAGCGGUAAAAUGGCGGGGCUCAACCCCGUCGAGCCGUUGAAACUGGCAGACUUGAGUUGGCGAGAAGUACGCGGAAUGCGCGGUGUAGCGGUGAAAUGCAUAGAUAUCGCGCAGAACUCCGAUUGCGAAGGCAGCGUACCGGCGCCAGACUGACGCUGAGGCACGAAAGCGUGGGGAUCGAACAGGAUUAGAUACCCGGGUAGUC